rnacentral:rRNA from 1 species
AUUGAACGCUGGCGGAAUGCUUUACACAUGCAAGUCGAACGGCAGCACGGACUUCGGUCCGGUGGCGAGUGGCGAACGGGUGAGUAACAUAUCGGAACGUAUCCAAUAAUGGGGGAUAACGAGUCGAAAGAUUCGCUAAUACCGCAUACGCCCUACGGGGGAAAGCUGGGACCUUCGGGCCUGGCGUUAAUGGAGCGGCCGAUAUCUGAUUAGCUAGUUGGUGAGGUAAAGGCUCACCAAGGCGACGAUCAGUAGCUGGUCUGAGAGGACGACCAGCCACACUGGAACUGAGACACGGUCCAGACUCCUACGGGAGGCAGCAGUGGGGAAUUUUGGACAAUGGGCGCAAGCCUGAUCCAGCCAUUCCGCGUGAGUGAAGAAGGCCUUCGGGUUGUAAAGCUCUUUCGCAAGGGAAGAAAACUUAGCCGCUAACAUUGGUUGAGGUUGACGGUACCUUGAUAAGAAGCACCGGCUAACUACGUGCCAGCCGCCGCGGUAA